rnacentral:rRNA from 1 species
UACGUAGGGGGCUAGCGUUGUCCGGAAUCAUUGGGCGUAAAGCGCGCGUAGGCGGCCCGGUAAGUCCGCUGUAAAAGUCAAAGGCUCAACCUUUGAAUGUCAGUGGAUACUGCCGGGCUAGAGUCCGGAAGAGGCGAGUGGAACUCCUGGUGUAGCGGUGGAAUGCGCAGAUAUUCGCAAGAACACCAGUGGCGAAGGCGGACUCACUGGCCCGGUACUGACGCUGAGGUGCGAAAGCGUGGGGAGCAAACAGGG